rnacentral:snRNA from 1 species
GUAUUCGCUUUGGCUGUGCAUAUACUAAAAUUGGAAUGAUAUAGAGAAGAUUAGCUUGGCCCAUGUGCAAGGAAGACAUGCAAAUUCAUGAAGCAUUUCAUAUAUUU